GAACCCAGCCAGUAGUUAAAUUUGAGGCACUCACAGACCAUAAACUCUAAGCCUGAGGCACAGCAAAGCAGCCUGUGCAGAGGGAUACCAGCCCCAUGCUGCUCUCCAGCCUGCUGUGGGUGACUGUAGCCUUCAUCUACUCGGGACCCAGUGUCGCCCAGAAAGUGACUCAAGUCCAGCCAGUCACAUCUGGGAGACAAGGAGAAACAGCCACUCUGGACUGUGAAUAUGAGACACAGUGGAGCUCAGACACUCUUUGGUGGUACAAGCAACUUCCCAGUGGAGAGAUGGUGCUGCUCAUUUGGAGUACUUCUGGUCAGACCAGAAAAGCUGGUCGCUAUUCUUUCGAAUUCCCAAAAGCUAACUCAAUGAGCUUCAUCAUUUCUGGUUUACAGAUGGAAGAUUCAGCCAAGUAUUUCUGUGCUAUUAGGAGAGGCACAGUGCUUGAAGUGACAGUAGAAGCUGAACAAAAACUCAGGUGCUUCACAUGAGAAGGGCCCUGCUGCAGGAUCCCAAAUGAGCCUCACACCUGCAGAUCUCAAACCGGAAAAGGGCACUGUGGUUGCUCCGUCUUGAUCUGGAUUGGAAGAUAAAGUUCUAAAUAAAACUUUUUUAUGUCUCAUUUGGAAACUGUUAUCAGGCACAUGUUUUGGUGCAUCCUGUUAAGAAUUUUUGAAUAGGUAAUAGUGGAUAGAGAACAUGUAUAAAGUCGU